UACGUAGGGAGCAAGCGUUGUCCGGAAUGACUGGGCGUAAAGGGUGCGUAGGCGGUAUGUCAAGUUGGAAGUGUAAUACCUGGGCUUAACUUAGGUGCUACUUCCAAAACUGAUGUACUGGAGUGUGGGAGAGGUAAGUGGAAUUCCUAGUGUAGCGGUGGAAUGCGUAGAUAUUAGGAGGAACACCAGUGGCGAAGGCGGCUUACUGGACCAUAACUGACGCUGAGGCACGAAAGCGUGGGGAGCAAACAGG
rnacentral:rRNA from 1 species